rnacentral:rRNA from 1 species
AUGGAGGCAGCCGGCGGCGACAGAAGCAAGAGGACGUGGGUGGUGGACGUGGAGAAGAAGCUCAAGGAAGCCGACAAGACGGCGGAGGUGUCGCGGUGGGAGCCUCACUGCAUCUACCGCGUGCCGCCCUGCAUGACCAACAUCAAGAGCAAGGCGUACCAGCCGCAGGUGGUGUCGCUGGGCCCCUUCCACCACGGCCACCGCGACCUGCGCCACAUGGAGGAGCACAAGCACCGGGCAUUGCGGCAGCUGCUACGGCGCGCGGACCGGCCGCUCGACGACUUCGUGGCUGUCGUGGAUGAGGUCACGGAGGAGCUGGAGGGCGCGUACAUGGACCUUCACAGCGAGGGGCGCAGCCUUGGCAGGGAGCAGUUCCUGGCCAUGAUGAUCUUCGACGGCUGCUUCCUGCUGGAGCUGAUGAGGUGCACGGCCGCCGACGGGAAGCUGGUCGGCGAGUACGCAAACAACGACCCCAUCUUCAGCCCCCACGGGAUACUCAACAUGGUGCCCUACAUUCGGCGAGACAUGCUCAUGCUCGAGAACCAGCUACCUCUACUCCUGCUCCAGAAGCUCGUUGAGGUUGAGAGUGGAAAGCCUCCGAAGAACGACUUCAUCAACCGAAUGGUGCUGAAAUUUCUAGCCCAAUCAUCUAGCCCAUUUCCACCAGGCAUCGGCCUAGGGCUCCACCCACUGGAUGUCUUUCGCCGGAGCAUGCUCACUGGUAAGUGCCAUCAAAUCUGGAGCCCCCAGGACAUUGAGGAGGACAACGCCAUCAUCCGGUCAGCACUGAAGCUCUACCAAGCCGGGAUUCAGUUCAAGCCGAGCAAGACGUUGAGCCUGCACGACAUCCAGUUUCGGAGCGGCAUGCUGAGCAUGCCGACAGUGUCGGUGGACGACUCCACCGAGUACAUGUUCCUCAACGUGAUGGCGUUCGAGCGGCUGCACGUCGGCGCAGGCAACGACGUGACCGACUACGUAUUCUUCAUGAACAGCAUCAUCGACUCCGCCAAGGACGUGGAGCUGCUGAGAUCCAAGGGUAUCAUCCACAACGCCAUCGGCAGCGACCAGGCUGUGGCCAAGCUGUUCAACACCAUUUCCAGGGAUGUGAUGCUCGAUCCCAACAGCGAGCUCGACGCAGUGCAGCGGCAGGUGAACGGCUACUUGCGGAAGCCGUGGAACAUUAGGCGCGCUAGCCUCAUCCACACAUACUUCAGGAGCCCAUGGGCGUUUCUCUCCCUCGCCGCCGCCAUCUUACUCCUCGGCAUGACCGUCAUGCAGACCAUCUACACAGUGCUGCAGUUCUACAGGGACGACAACAGCAGCCCGCCGCCAUCGGCACCAUCUCCCAUCUGA